UACGUAGGGGGCUAGCGUUGUCCGGAAUCAUUGGGCGUAAAGCGCGUGUAGGCGGUUCGGUAAGUCCGCUGUGAAAGUCGAGGGCUCAACCCUCGAAUGCCGGUGGAUACUGUCGGGCUAGAGUGCGGAAGAGGCGAGUGGAAUUCCUGGUGUAGCGGUGAAAUGCGCAGAUAUCAGGAGGAACACCAAUUGCGAAGGCAGCUCGCUGGGACGUUACUGACGCUGAGGUGCGAAAGCGUGGGGAGCAAACGGG
rnacentral:rRNA from 1 species